rnacentral:rRNA from 1 species
AGAGUUUGAUCCUGGCUCAGGAUGAACGCUGGCGGCGUGCCUAAUACAUGCGAGUCGAACGAGGAACUUUUGUAUUCGUACAGAGGUUUCCUAGUGGCGAACGGGUGAGUAACGCGUUGGUGACCUGCCCCGAAGAGAGGGAUAACAGUUCGAAAGAACUGCUAAUACCUCAUGUGAUCAUAAGGAUUAGAUGCCUUUUGAUUAAAUGGAUUUAUUCGCUUCGGGAGGGGCCUGCGUCCCAUCAGCUAGUUGGUAGGGUAAUGGCCUACCAAGGCGAUGACGGGUAGGGGACCUGAGAGGGUGACCCCCCACACUGACACUGAAACACGGGUCAGACACCUACGGGUGGCAGCAGUAGGGAAUAUUGGUAAUGGGCGAAAGCCUGAACCAGCAACGCCGCGUGCGCGAUGAAGGCCUUCGGGUUGUAAAGCGCUUUUUGAGGGGAUGAGGAAGGACAGUACCCUCAGAAUAAGCCUCGGCUAACUACGUGCCAGCAGCCGCGGUAAAACGUAGGAGGCAAGCGUUAUUCGGAUUUACUGGGCGUAAAGCGCGUGCAGGCGGCUCGAUAAGUUGGAUGUGAAAGCUCCUGGCUCAACUGGGAGAGGUCGUUCAAUACUGUCGGGCUAGAGGAUGAGAGAGGGAGGUGGAAUUCCAGGUGUAGUGGUGGAAUGCGUAGAUAUCUGGAGGAACACCAGUGGCGAAGGCGGCCUCCUGGCUCAUUUCUGACGCUAAGACGCGAAAGCUAGGGUAGCAAACGGGAUUAGACCCCGGUAGUCCUAGCUGUAAACGAUGUAGACUUGGCGUUGGUGGGGUAAAAUCCAUCAGUGCCGUAGCUAACGCGAUAAGUCUACCGCCUGGGGACUACGAUCGCAAGAUUAAAACUCAAAGGAAUUGACGGGUCCCCGCACAAGCAGCGGAGCGUGUGGUUUAAUUCGAUGAUACGCGAAGAACCUUACCAGGGUUUGACAUAUAAGUGGUAGGGAUCCGAAAGGUGACCGACCCUUCGGGGAGCUUAUACAGGUGCUGCAUGGCUGUCGUCAGCUCGUGUCGUGAGAUGUUCGGUUAAGUCCGCUAACGAGCGCAACCCUCGUCGUGUGUUACAAGUGUCACGCGAGACCGCCGGUUUCAAGCCGGAGGAAGGUGAGGAUGACGUCAAGUCAGCAUGGCCUUUAUAUCCUGGGCUACACACACGCUACAAUGGCUGGUACAAUUGGUCGCGAAACCGCGAGGUGGAGCCAAUCCUUAAAGCCAGCCUCAGUUCAGAUUGUAGGCUGCAACUCGCCUGCAUGAAGAUGGAGUUGCUAGUAAACGCAGGU